rnacentral:rRNA from 1 species
ACCCGGAGAACUGAAACAUCUUAGUACCCGGAGGAAGAGAAAGAAAAUUCGAUUCCCUUAGUAGCGGCGAGCGAAACGGGAAGAGCCCAAACCAAAAAGCUUGCUUGUUGGGGUUGUAGGACACUCUGUACGGAGUUACAAAGGACGACAUUAGACGAAUCAUCUGGAAAGAUGAAUCAAAGAAGGUAAUAAUCCUGUAGUCGAAAAUGUUGUCUCUCUUGAGUGGAUCCUGAGUACGACGGAGCACGUGAAAUUCCGUCGGAAUCUGGGAGGACCAUCUCCUAAGGCUAAAUACUCUCUAGUGACCGAUAGUGAACCAGUACCGUGAGGGAAAGGUGAAAAGCACCCCGGAAGGGGAGUGAAAUAGAACCUGAAACCGUGUGCUUACAAGUAGUCAGAGCCCGUUAAUGGGUGAUGGCGUGCCUUUUGUAGAAUGAACCGGCGAGUUACGAUUUGAUGCAAGGUUAAGCAGUAAAUGUGGAGCCGUAGCGAAAGCGAGUCUGAAUAGGGCGUUUAGUAUUUGGUCGUAGACCCGAAACCAGGUGAUCUACCCUUGGUCAGGUUGAAGUUCAGGUAACACUGAAUGGAGGACCGAACCGACUUACGUUGAAAAGUGAGCGGAUGAACUGAGGGUAGCGGAGAAAUUCCAAUCGAACCUGGAGAUAGCUGGUUCUCUCCGAAAUAGCUUUAGGGCUAGCCUCAAGUGAUGAUUAUUGGAGGUAGAGCACUGUUUGGACGAGGGGCCCCUCUCGGGUUACCGAAUUCAGACAAACUCCGAAUGCCAAUUAAUUUAACUUGGGAGUCAGAACAUGGGUGAUAAGGUCCGUGUUCGAAAGGGAAACAGCCCAGACCACCAGCUAAGGUCCCAAAAUAUAUGUUAAGUGGAAAAGGAUGUGGCGUUGCCCAGACAACUAGGAUGUUGGCUUAGAAGCAGCCAUCAUUUAAAGAGUGCGUAAUAGCUCACUAGUCGAGUGACACUGCGCCGAAAAUGUACCGGGGCUAAACAUAUUACCGAAGCUGUGGAUUGUCCUUUGGACAAUGGUAGGAGAGCGUUCUAAGGGCGUUGAAGCAUGAUCGUAAGGACAUGUGGAGCGCUUAGAAGUGAGAAUGCCGGUGUGAGUAGCGAAAGACGGGUGAGAAUCCCGUCCACCGAUUGACUAAGGUUUCCAGAGGAAGGCUCGUCCGCUCUGGGUUAGUCGGGUCCUAAGCUGAGGCCGACAGGCGUAGGCGAUGGAUAACAGGUUGAUAUUCCUGUACCACCUAUAAUCGUUUUAAUCGAUGGGGGGACGCAGUAGGAUAGGCGAAGCGUGCGAUUGGAUUGCACGUCUAAGCAGUAAGGCUGAGUAUUAGGCAAAUCCGGUACUCGUUAAGGCUGAGCUGUGAUGGGGAGAAGACAUUGUGUCUUCGAGUCGUUGAUUUCACACUGCCGAGAAAAGCCUCUAGAUAGAAAAUAGGUGCCCGUACCGCAAACCGACACAGGUAGUCAAGAUGAGAAUUCUAAGGUGAGCGAGCGAACUCUCGUUAAGGAACUCGGCAAAAUGACCCCGUAACUUCGGGAGAAGGGGUGCUCUUUAGGGUUAACGCCCAGAAGAGCCGCAGUGAAUAGGCCCAAGCGACUGUUUAUCAAAAACACAGGUCUCUGCUAAACCGUAAGGUGAUGUAUAGGGGCUGACGCCUGCCCGGUGCUGGAAGGUUAAGAGGAGUGGUUAGCUUCUGCGAAGCUACGAAUCGAAGCCCCAGUAAACGGCGGCCGUAACUAUAACGGUCCUAAGGUAGCGAAAUUCCUUGUCGGGUAAGUUCCGACCCGCACGAAAGGCGUAACGAUUUGGGCACUGUCUCAACGAGAGACUCGGUGAAAUCAUAGUACCUGUGAAGAUGCAGGUUACCCGCGACAGGACGGAAAGACCCCGUGGAGCUUUACUGUAGCCUGAUAUUGAAAUUCGGCACAGCUUGUACAGGAUAGGUAGGAGCCUUUGAAACGUGAGCGCUAGCUUACGUGGAGGCGCUGGUGGGAUACUACCCUAGCUGUGUUGGCUUUCUAACCCGCACCACUUAUCGUGGUGGGAGACAGUGUCAAGCGGGCAGUUUGACUGGGGCGGUCGCCUCCUAAAAGGUAACGGAGGCGCUCAAAGGUUCCCUCAGAAUGGUUGGAAAUCAUUCAUAGAGUGUAAAGGCAUAAGGGAGCUUGACUGCGAGACCUACAAGUCGAGCAGGGUCGAAAGACGGACUUAGUGAUCCGGUGGUUCCGCAUGGAAGGGCCAUCGCUCAACGGAUAAAAGCUACCCCGGGGAUAACAGGCUUAUCUCCCCCAAGAGUUCACAUCGACGGGGAGGUUUGGCACCUCGAUGUCGGCUCAUCGCAUCCUGGGGCUGUAGUCGGUCCCAAGGGUUGGGCUGUUCGCCCAUUAAAGCGGUACGCGAGCUGGGUUCAGAACGUCGUGAGACAGUUCGGUCCCUAUCCGUCGUGGGCGUAGGAAAUUUGAGAGGAGCUGUCCUUAGUACGAGAGGACCGGGAUGGACAUACCUCUGGUGUACCAGUUGUCGUGCCAACGGCAUAGCUGGGUAGCUAUGUGUGGACGGGAUAAGUGCUGAAAGCAUCUAAGCAUGAAGCCCCCCUCAAGAUGAGAUUUCCCAACUUCGGUUAUAAGAUCCCUCAAAGAUGAUGAGGUUAAUAGGUUCGAGGUGGAAGCAUGGUGACAUGUGGAGCUGACGAAUACUAAUCGAUCGAAGACUUAAUCAA